GAUCCUGGCUCAGGACGAACGCUGGCGGCGUGCCUAAUACAUGCAAGUCGAGCGGACCAAAGGGAGCUUGCUCCUGGAGGUUAGCGGCGAACGGGUGAGUAACACGUGGGCAACCUGCCUGUAAGACUGGGAUAACAUCGAGAAAUCGGUGCUAAUACCGGAUAAUAAAAAGAACUGCAUGGUUCUUUUUUGAAAGAUGGUUUCGGCUAUCACUUACAGAUGGGCCCGCGGCGCAUUAGCUAGUUGGUGGGG
rnacentral:rRNA from 1 species